CCUACGGGAGGCAGCAGUGGGGAAUAUUGCACAAUGGGGGAAACCCUGAUGCAGCGACGCCGCGUGAGUGAAGAAGUAUUUCGGUAUGUAAAGCUCUAUCAGCAGGGAAGAAAAUGACGGUACCUGAUCAAGAAGCCCUGGCUAACUACGUGCCAGCAGCCGCGGUAAUACGUAGGGGGCAAGCGUUAUCCGGAUUUACUGGGUGUAAAGGGAGCGUAGACGGCAGCACAAGUCUGGAGUGAAAUGCCGGGGCUUAACCCCGGAACUGCUUUGGAAACUGUGCAGCUAGAGUGCAGGAGAGGUAAGUGGAAUUCCUGGUGUAGCGGUGAAAUGCGUAGAUAUUAGGAGGAACACCAGUGGCGAAGGCGGCCUACUGGACUGUAACUGACGUUGAGGCUCGAAAGCGUGGGGAGCAAACAGGAUUAGAUACCCCAGUAGUC
rnacentral:rRNA from 1 species